rnacentral:rRNA from 1 species
UACGUAGGGUGCGAGCGUUGUCCGGAAUUAUUGGGCGUAAAGAGCUCGUAGGCGGUCUGUCGCGUCGGAUGUGAAAACCCAGGGCUUAACCCUGGGCCUGCAUUCGAUACGGGCAGACUAGAGUUCGGUAGGGGAGACGUGGAAUUCCUGGUGUAGCGGUGAAAUGCGCCAGAUAUCAGGAGGAACACCGGUGGCGAAGGCGGGUCUCUAGGCCGACACUGACGCUGAGGAGCGAAAGCGUGGGGAGCGAACAGG